UAGGGAGACCAUCUGAGAAACUACCGAACCUAAACAAGAGGUAGCAAUCAGUAUCCCUGGUCGUUCGAGAAAUAGAUGUCAAAGCUUUCAAACUAUUAACUGGUUCGGGAAAUGGGCUAUUAGCUCAGUUGGUUAGAGCGCACCCCUGAUAAGGGUGAGGUCGGUAGUUCGAGUCUACUCAGACCAACCAAUUCACUGCAAGUCAGCUUGACAAUGAAUUUACCAAUUUUAGAUUGGGGUUAUAGCUCAGCUGGGAGAGCGCCUGCCUUGCACGCAGGAGGUCAACGGUUCGAUCCCGUUUAACUCCACCAUUACUCAAGAUUGAUUCUGAAAGUAAAAUUACUGUUUGAAAACUCAAAAACAAAUGCUUUUGUAUGAAGUAUUUCUUUUUGAGCUUUAUGCUCGAAGUGCUCUUUAACAAAUUGGCAAGCUGAUAGAAAGAAAAAACAAGGUAACAAUAUUUUUUGUGAACCUUAUCACACCUACGAUUCCAGACAUUUUGGGGUUGUAUGGUUAAGUGACUAAGCGUACACGGU
rnacentral:tRNA from 1 species